GUUGUCAAGUAAGAUGCAGAUGUUGAGGUCUCAGAGAGGACUCAGGCUCAUUACAGCCCUAAGGUAACAAAGCAGACAAAUAAAGAUCUUAAGAAGAAACAUUAUAAGUUAACCAUAUGAUUGUGCCUGCUAAAAUACAUAUAUAUUUUUUGAAGUGUUGAUUUGAUUGAA